CGCCAGACUCCUACGGGAGGCAGCAGUGGGGAAUAUUGCACAAUGGGGGGAACCCUGAUGCAGCGACGCCGCGUGGGUGAAGGAGCACCUCGGUGCGUAAAGCCCUAUCGGCAGGGAAGAAAAGCGAACAGGUUCGCCUGGACGGUACCUGACUAAGAAGCCCCGGCUAACUACGUGCCAGCAGCCGCGGUAAUACGUAGGGGGCAAGCGUUAUCCGGAUUCACUGGGUGUAAAGGGAGCGUAGACGGCGGCGCAAGUCUGGAGUGAAAGCCCGGGGCCCAACCCCGGGACUGCUCUUGGAACUGCGCGGCUGGAGUGCAGGAGGGGCAGGCGGAAUUCCUGGUGUAACGGUGAAAUGCGUAGAUAUCAGGAAGAACACCGGUGGCGUAGGCGGCUUACUGGACGGCAACUGACGCUGAGGCUCGAAAGCGUGGGGAGCAAACAGGAUUAGAUACCCCCGUAU
rnacentral:rRNA from 1 species